rnacentral:lncRNA from 1 species
ACUGCAUCAUAAUGCGCUGGCGGGUGAAGCAACGAUGUCACACACCAGCUAAACUGAAGGUUUACACUCAGUAAUGUGCAAAUUCAGCUCCCUGAUUGAACAUCUAGCAAAAAGAGAAGGGGGCAAAAAAAAAAUCAAUGGAGCACCUAAAUGGACGAGACCCUGUGUGAAGCAGUCAAGACAGAAUCACCGGAAGACAGUGGCAAUGAGGGAAAAGAAGGCUAUCGUGAGGAUGAAAUGGACUCCAGCCCUGAUCCUUCCAAUGGCAUGGAGGUCGAACAGCCUGAACCAACUGCCUCAAAGGAAGGGGCUCCCGCUCGAGAAACGGCCCAGAGAACAUACUUGUGACACUCCUGAAAACAGAAGACAGGAACCCAUCACAGAUGCUCUGAAAAACACAGAGAAGAAAGACCAUCUGAAGAAACAUUUUGUUCGGAUCGGGGGCAUGUUGGUUUUGCCAGUACCUGUAGAUGGUCCACUCUUCACCGAUGAGGAAAAAUGAAUGUGGACCAUGGGAUUGCAGAGGAGAGCAAGAUCUCGCAGCUGGAAACGUGCUACUAUGUUUUAGAUAAUAAAGUCACAGACUGGCGAUGACUCUCCA